rnacentral:tRNA from 1 species
GAAGGUAUAGCUCAGUGAUAGAGUGCAUGCUUAGCAUUCACAAGGUCCUGGGUUCAAGCCCCAGUACCUCCA